AACGCGAAGAACCUUACCAGGGUUUGACAUGCACGUGCACCAGCCAGAGAUGGUUGUCCCUUCGGGGCGCGUGCACAGGUGCUGCAUGGCUGUCGUCAGCUCGUGCCGUGAGGUGUUGGGUUAAGUCCCGUAACGAGCGCAACCCUUGUCCUUAGUUGCCAACAGGUAAAGCUGGGAACUCUAAGGAGACUGCCGGUGAUAAGCCGGAGGAAGGUGGGGAUGACGUCAAGUCCUCAUGGCCCUUACGGGUAGGGCUACACACGUGUUACAAUGGGCAGUACAAAGGGAAGCGAAGCCGCGAGGUGUAGCAAAUCUUUUUAAAGCUGUUCGUAGUCCGGAUUGGAGUCUGCAACUCGACUCCAUGAAGUUGGAAUCGCUAGUAAUCGUGGAUCAGAACGCCACGGUGAAUACGUUCCCGGGCCUUGUACACACCGGUACUA
rnacentral:rRNA from 1 species